rnacentral:lncRNA from 1 species
AUAGUAAGUAUCUAAUUCACAUCACAGUAUAUUAUAUAAAUAAGAUAAGAUCCAAAUCACAUCAUAAAUUUGAAUGAACGACAAAUCAUAUCAUAUAAUCAACCGUCUCAGCCAAAUCAUCCUCUAACUAGAAGUGACAAUAAAAUGGAACACUCACUCUGGAGUUUGACACGACAAUAGACAAGUUAAAAAGGCAAUAUUUAAAUAACUAAAGACCACAUGUGUUGUCCUGAUGAUUACAACAUAUGAUUCAGCAACUAUCUUUCCAUCACAAAAGGAUGGCCUUCAUGCACCGUCAGGUUUGGAAUGGGACUGCUAAGUUGCUUGCUGAGUUCCUUGAGCCUUUAAGAGAAAACCAAUCAGGUUAUCCAUCUCAUGUUGCUUCUUUUGCCAGGCUUCAUUCUUCUCUUGCUGUCUCUUCUUCACAGCUUGCAAUUCUCCAUGUUCCUUCCCCUACAUGUCUUCAAAUGUUGUCACUUGUGCUUCAAGCCUCGCGGCUAACUCCUCUCGAUGCCUAUAAAUUCAACAAACGCAACAUCGUUGUACCUUUGAUGAGAUGAAAACAGACAAGAUAACAAGGUACAAGAGUACCACUAAGAGGCUUACAAUCUAUCAAAUUAAUAAUAUGAAAUAAAGAGGUACAUUAUUAAAUGGCAAGGCAAGCACAUACAGAUGGGCAAAUGAAAGAGUAAACCCAAGAAUAUCUUAUAAUGGUUAAAAAAACAUGCAAACCAAUCAUUUAUUAUUUUAAAAAGCAGCAAGAAACACAAUUAAUAUAUCAAGUCAACAACCCAGGCAAGAAGAAAAUGGACCUUAAAAGAUCUAACAAUUUUACAUGUGAAAAUGUACUUUCCAGGAACUUAAAUGAAUAUAAUAAAGUAGAUAAGUGAGG